rnacentral:lncRNA from 1 species
CCUGAAGAAGUCAGUCCUUACGCUGAAGGGGCUGUUCAAGAAAGUUCCUUGUUUGGAAUCUAUGACGAUAAAGGAAUAUUCAGAAGGGUUGCGGUGCCGAUAGCGUACAAAUCCAGGGAUCGAAGUUUGAGUUACUCCUAUGGAGAUUCUUAUAUAGACUACAAUCGACAGAGUCCAGAAGGAGACCCGCCUAGUACAUUCGAGGAAUUUCACAGAGAUAGAAGAGACUCAACCCUUCCAAUAUACGAUGACGUCAGCAGGCAAAGUAGGAACAAGCCCCAACAUUUCAGCUUCAGCAAAAACGGCCACCUCAAAAUCGAUUAUUCUUGUAGCUGGAAUAAUUUGAACAAGUUUAUGAAAUAUAACUAGAAAAUAGUUUUAAGGAAAUUAACAAAGAGAGACACUUAUAAAAA